GAACGCUAGCGACAGGCCUAACACAUGCAAGUCGAGGGGCAGCACAAGGAGCAAUCUGAGGUGGCGACCGGCGCACGGGUGAGUAACACGUAUGCAACCUGCCUGUAAGCGGGGAAUAACCCGUUGAAAGACGGACUAAUACCGCAUAAUACUAAAUUACUGCAUGGUAAUUUAUUUAAACAUUUAUGGCUUACAGAUGGGCAUGCGCAUGAUUAGCUAGUUGGAGAGGUAACGGCUCCCCAAGGCAACGAUCAUUAGGGGUUCUGAGAGGAAGGUCCCCCACACUGGUACUGAGACACGGACCAGACUCCUACGGGAGGCAGCAGUGAGGAAUAUUGGUCAAUGGACGAGAGUCUGAACCAGCCAAGUCGCGUGCAGGAAGAAUGUCCCUAUGGAUUGUAAACUGCUUUUGCAGGGGAAUAAAGUGCAUCACGUGUGAUGUUUUGUAUGUACUCUGCGAAUAAGGAUCGGCUAACUCCGUGCCAGCAGCGGC
rnacentral:rRNA from 1 species